UACAGAGGGUGCAAGCGUUAAUCGGAAUUACUGGGCGUAAAGCGUGCGUAGACGGUUGCGUAAGUCAGAUGCGAAAGCCCCGGGCUCAACCUGGGAAUUGCAUUUGAGACUGCGUAGCUAGGGUGCGGAAGAGGGAAGCGGAAUUUCCGGUGUAGCGGUGAAAUGCGUAGAUAUCGGAAGGAACACCAGUGGCGAAAGCGGCUUCCUGGUCCAGCACCGACGUUCAGGCACGAAAGCGUGGGGAGCAAACAGG
rnacentral:rRNA from 1 species